CAGCCGCCACGGGAAUACGUAGGUGGCGAGCGUUGUCCGGAUUUAUUGGGCGUAAAGGGAGUGUAGGCGGUCUUUUAAGUCUGAUGUGAAGGCCCACGGCUCAACCGUGGAGGGUCAUUGGAAACUGGGAGACUUGAGUGCAGAAGAGGAGAGCGGAAUUCCAUGUGUAGCGGUGAAAUGCGUAGAUAUAUGGAGGAACACCAGUGGCGAAGGCGGCUCUCUGGUCUGUAACUGACGCUGAGGCUCGAAAGCGUGGGGAGCAAACAGGAUUAGAUACCCCUGUAGUCCCUGUCUCUUAUAC
rnacentral:rRNA from 1 species